UGCACUUCCGUUUCGGCCGGGCGUGAGAAGAAUGUGGAGACGCGAGCGCCCUGGGAUCCGAGGGGGGCUGCCCCCUCGGCUCCGGCUGGUCCCCGGUCCUUGGGCGGGUGGGCGACGCGGGCCUUUCGCUGCCACCCGCUCUAGCCUGCGGCCUCGGGCCAUUCCCCGAGGUGGUAACGAAGCUCCGCCGGGAACGGGAGGGCCCUCCGCGGAGCCCGGGACUUUGGGGACCGCUGCCCGCAUAGCAGCUGGGGCUCGGACGGAGAAGGCAGAGGGAACUUGAACCGACGCCGGCACUGAAGUUGAGGGUUUUUCUCGGAAAAGCAGAUCUCUUCGGCCCCCGACCGUUGGUUGAAGGCCUGCAACGAACGAUUUCCCCCUGCUCACCGUGAUAGACCCUUCGGAGUGACCUCGGUUGUGGGGAUCCAGGUUAGCCUGCUCCUCGAGAAGCAGCACCUAAGUACCUACGGUGGUCAGAGCACUGGCUGCUUUUCGGAUGGAGUGGCCCCGGCGUCAGGGGCUUAGAACCUACAGAGGUAGAUGGCUGUGAAUGCUAUGGAAUGACAGGGAGGAGCGUUGUCCAUGGGACCCAUCAGGAUGUGACCCUGUAAAGGCUGUUUCCAGCUGACGAAACAUGUGACAAAAGGCAGGAAGCACGGAAGUGCUUGAGAGGACGUGAGGAACUCGAGGCGGGUUUCCUGGAAGAUGUGUGUGUGCUGGACGACGGUCUGCCGAGUUCCUUCCCGCCCGCUUCUCUGUGCCUGAAAUGUAAUUGCUCUGUUUUAGGGCCCUCCUGGUUUGUUUGGUUUAAUCCAUCACCACAUAGUUUUUGAAUGGCGACCUGCUUAAGACCCUGUUUUGAGUGGAUAUAAAUAAAAGGAGUCGGACCCCAAAGGAAA